rnacentral:rRNA from 1 species
UACAGAGGUGGCAAGCGUUGUUCGGAAUUACUGGGCGUAAAGGGCGCGUAGGCGGCCUUGUAAGUCUCGUGUGAAAGCCCUCGGCUUAACUGAGGAUCUGCACGGGAUACUGCGAGGCUCGAGUUCGGGAGAGGAAAGCGGAAUUCCGGGUGUAGCGGUGAAAUGCGUAGAUAUCCGGAGGAACACCAGUGGCGAAGGCGGCUUUCUGGACCGACACUGACGCUGAGGCGCGAAAGCUAGGGGAGCAAACGGG